rnacentral:lncRNA from 1 species
AGCCAAUGGGAACAAAUGCAGAGGCCUACAGCUACAUACUACACAGAGAAUGAGACUUUGGAAUACCCAUUCCUAAUCACAAUUUCUCUACCACAUUCCUUCUUUCAGAGCCCAGGGCACCGUGCAGAAGAGUAAGCAAUAGGAGUAUGAGAGCCAGAGAGGAUGGAGGACAACGGGAGAGCAAGGCCCUCUGGAUCAGCUGAGUAAGGUUCAUGCCCUCACUCUUGGAUGCUGGAUGGAACUAGGGUGCAAUGGACAAGAAUAAAGAGGAGACGGGCCUAUGACCUGGAUGAUGCAAGAAGACUUCAAGUAGAAGUGUCUGAAGUCACCCUUGUCUUGUUUGGAACAAGAUCUCAUUAUUUCUGUGGUUUACAUACUGGUCACAGUUACAGUUAAAUUUCCUAAAUGAGAAGACUUUUCCUUUUCCUUUCUUCCCCCUGGAGGGAGCAUAGGAAGGAGGCUAGACUCCAAACAGUUAAUGAAUGUUACACCU